UCAUCUGAUGGUUUCUUUGAAUCAGUACACCAUAUACACGAUGUCUAGCCAGUGACAGCCACCUAGCUAAAACUGACGCGCCCCUACCAAAACGUCAAAACCGACGUAGCUAGCAUUAGCAUGAAGCAAUAGAUUUGUGCUACAUUUUCCCAUAAGAGACAAUCAGCAGUUUAUACUAGCUUUAAUCUAUUUGACCUAGAAUUAAUAUAAUCCCUAUAGUUGUAUUCUGACAUUCAAUGUGUUAUUUGAACCCAUAACGUUACACCACACACGAUCUCUAGCCAGCUGACGGUCAGUUGGACGUGCACCCCAUACUGAGCUGUCAAAAGCCACCCACACUCGUUUUCCGGAUGAGCGCACACACACAGCAUUGCUAGCUCAUUAAUUAUAUAUAUACUCACAUGUUCAGGGUUUCUGGUUUUCUUUUAUAUUCCAGUAUUGCGUGACUGUCCUGGUCAGGAAAGUUAAAAUCUCAAAUUGUAUCCAUCACCUUUGUUGGUGGAAUAUGUAAUUAGUACAACAAGCUUUGACAUACCAAACGUGUGCUCAAUGUGUCUGCUUCAGUGCCAUCAUUACAUGAAUGCGGAAAAAACUGUUUUGCAUGACUUCCACCAAUUCCCGUGGUCUACAUGAUUAGUAUCUAUGCGGAACAAAGUUGCCAUGUGAGGGUGUAUUAGGACAGUCCAACCACGUCAACACUAGAUAUUAUUCCUGUCAAUGUCCAACCAUGCAAUUUUUUUGUAUUUGUAAGGAAAAAUGAAAAUGUAAGAGCCUUUUUGGGAGCAGUUGAGUUUGAGGGCCACAUUCCAACAAAGAUUCCUGAUCUACCCCCUUUAACUGAAGUCACAGUGUCAACACUAUUUGAAGAAAUAGAGAACCAGUGGGUGGUCUCUGACAGACUUAUUGUUAGCUAGGAGGAAGACAUGGAGGGUUCAACGCUGACACAGAGGAGGGCUGAGUGUCAGUUGAAGGAUAGGGAGAUCCAGACAGACUACAUGAUGGAGCUGGGAGCCAGGUUGGUUCUGGUGAGACAGAUCCAGAGGGAGCAGGAGAAGGAGAUGAAGAGGAUUUGGUUUGAGACGAGGAAAAUGCCAAGCCUGAUUGAGGAGAAUGUGAGAGAUGUGACCAAACGUCCACUCACUGAGUUCAUGGCUCCCUGUAUUGACUCCCUCCCACCACUGGCUUUCACCAAUCGGAGGCCUAUACCAACCAUGUUGCAUCCCCCCUCUCCAUUGGUCAUACGCACUCAGGAUGCACAGCGAUUCAUUGUAUUUUCCUACUUUGUCCCUGCUGAGUGCCCAGUUUCCACAGAGGCCACAGCAGAUGUAUCUGCUGGUAGAAGAGAGGACUUGUCGACAGAUACACAUCUUUCCUCAAUGCUGCAUCGAUACCUGCCACACUUCUUUAACGAUGACUCCAUUCCACCACAGCAGACAGUAGAG
rnacentral:lncRNA from 13 species